GCCACGAAUCUUCUCCUAGUCCACAGAAGAUGCAGAAUAGGAGCUCUGAUGCAUGACUGGAGACAGAGCAGGUCAGGCGGGAAAUGUUGUGCUUGGGUCACGAAGGGUGAGCGUGUAAGCAACCUGGCGCAACUAAUGGCUAGCUAUUGUUCAUAUGAAGAGUAGAGGUUAUACAUCUCUUUCUGCCAGUGUUCUCGAGCUAUCGCUGUCGCUUCCGUGAGUACAAGAUGUGGCAAGAUGCGUGCCCAAGAAGCUGCUAUUCACUCUCGAGGGCUUGGCAUCAAGUCACGAAUGCUUUGUAAUCAUAUUAAUAGUAUAUAGCAAACGUGAGGAACCUUGACAUUUAGAAUGUUAUAGCACUUAUCUUGAAAUUCUUAAGGAUUGUUUCUUCGAAAUCAUGAAAAGAAAGAAAAGUGUUUAUUUGAUAAUUUUCCUGUGACGAGAUUUUUUUUUUUUCUCUUUCUUUUUUUCUUUUAUCAGUGCAUAGUAGGAUGCAUUCGUUGCUUGAGAGUUGGUACAGAUAAAUUUACGUUCAUUUGGAAGAGCGUACAUAAUCCACUCAUACACCGACUCGUGCUCUGAUUCAGGCACGCAUUCUCACGCUAGAAAGUUCAAACAGACACAUUCGUGUACUUGAAUCCUCACACACACACACACACACACACACAUGCCUCUCUCCCGCACGAGUUGCCGCUCAUGCUUCUUCGCUCUCACGCGUUCGAACCUGCAGAUAACCAAGGAAAUGUGCAGGUCAUUGUCUGUGUCCUGAAGUAUAAAUUGGAUCUAAAGCAGACCUUAGUUGGUGUGUUGUGUAGCUUCCCAUAGAAACCUCUUUUAGCCACAUUUCAAAGUUCCGGAACUUCAUCUCGACUACUAUCAACAGUCUUUCGUGGAAGUUAUUGUGAGUUUAAGAGUGUUUCCAUGAUUUUAGUGGUGGUUUUAUCAAGGAUUCUGUAUUCCUAGUGGAGAAAUAAGAUAAAUGAGGACCUGACUAA